rnacentral:rRNA from 1 species
UACGGGGGGGGCAAGCGUUGUUCGGAAUUACUGGGCGUAAAGGGCUCGUAGGCGGCCAACUAAGUCAUACGUGAAAUCCCUCGGCUUAACCGGGGAACUGCGUCUGAUACUGGAUGGCUUGAGUUCGGGAGAGGGAUGCGGAAUUCCUGGUGUAGCGGUGAAAUGCGCAGAUAUCAGGAAGAACACCCGUGGCGAAGGCGGCUCUCUGGGACGGUACUGACGCUGAGACGCGAAAGCGUGGGGAGCAAACAGG